CUGGGCCGGGCGUGGCGGCUGGAGCUGGGUCCCGCCCGCGCCUCCUUCGAGCUGCCCAAAACCCCAAACCAGCCCCAAAAACCCCCAAAACAGCCCGUAAAAAAUCCCAAAAAAUCCCAAAAAAACCCCGGAACAUCCCGGAACAUUCCGGAACAUUCCCAGCUGGAGCUGUCCUGUCUGGGCCGGGCAUGGCGGCUGGAGCUGGGUCCCGCCCGCGCCUCCUUCGAGCUGCCCAAAACCCCAAACCAGCCCCAAAAACCCCCAAAACACCCUGUAAAAAAUCCCAAAAAAUCCCAAAAAAACCCCGGAACAUCCCGGAACAUUCCGGAACAUUCCCAGCUGGAGCUGUGGUCUCUGGGCCGGGCGUGGCGGCUGGAGCUGGGUCCCGCCCGCGCCUCCUUCGAGCUGCCCGGCCUCUCGUGCUCCGGGCUCCGGGUCCGGCUCCUGCGGCUCUCGGGGGCGGCGGCGCAGCGCUGGCUGCGGCACCUGAGCCACGGCCGCGACUACGAGAUGAGACUCUGAGAAUUCCAGAGAAAUCCCGGGAAUUCCCGGAAUUCCGGAGCUCCGGAGACAUCCCACGGCCGCGACUACGAGAUGAGACUGUGAGAAUUCCAGAGAAAAUCCCAAAAAUCCCGGAAUUCCGGAGCUCCAGAGCUCCAGAGACAUCCCACGGCCGCGACUACAAGAUGAGGCUCUGAGAAUUCCAGAGAAUUCCCGGAAUUCAGGAGCUCCAGAGCUCCGGAGACAUCCCACAGCUGCGACUACGAGAUGAGGCUCUGAGAAUUCCAGAGAAUUCCUGGAAUUCCGGAGCUCCGGAGACAUCCCACGGCCGUGACUGUGAGAUGAGGCUCUGACAAUUCCAGAGAAUUCCCGGGAAUUCCCGGAAUUCCGGAGACAUCCCACGGCCGCCACUACGAGAUGAGACUGUGAGAAUUCCAGAGAAAAUCCCAAAAAUCCCGGAAUUCCGGAGCUCCAGAGACAUCCCAUGGCCGCGACUACAAGAUGAGAUUGUGAGAAUUCCAGAGAAUUCCCGGAAUUCCGGAGACAUCCCACGGCCAUGACUGCGAGAUGAGGCUCUGAGAAUUCCCGAGAAAUUCCCAGGAAAUUCCCAAAUAAACAGCCCAGAACGAAGGAGUUGCUGCA
rnacentral:lncRNA from 1 species